GAUGAACGCUAGCGGGAGGCCUAACACAUGCAAGCCGAGCGGUAUUGUUUCUUCGGAAAUGAGAGAGCGGCGUACGGGUGCGUAACACGUGCGCAACCUGCCUUUAUCUGGGGGAUAGCCUCUCGAAAGGAAGAUUAAUACUCCAUAAUAUAUUGAACGGCAUCGUUUAAUAUUGAAAGCUCCGGCGGAUAGAGAUGGGCACGCGCAAGAUUAGCUAGUUGGUGAGGUAACGGCUAACCAAGGCGAUGAUCUUUAGGGGGCCUGAGAGGGUGAUACCCCACACGGGUACUGAGACACGGACCAGACUCCUACGGGAGGCAGCAGUGAGGAAUAUUGGUCAAUGGGUGCAAGCCUGAACCAGCCAUCCCGCGUGAAGGACGACUGCCCUAUGGGUUGUAAACUUCUUUUGUAUAGGGAUAAACCUACCCUCGUGAGGGUAGCUGAAGGUACUAUACGAAUAAGCACCGGCUAACUCCGUGCCAGCAGCCGCCGUAACAC
rnacentral:rRNA from 1 species